UACGGAGGAUGCGAGCGUUAUCCGGAUUUAUUGGGUUUAAAGGGCGUGUAGGCGGGAUUGCAAGUCAGAUGUGAAAUUCCAGGGCUCAACCCUGGAACUGCAUUUGAAACUGUAGUUCUUGAGUGAUGGAGAGGCAGGCGGAAUUCCGUGUGUAGCGGUGAAAUGCGUAGAUAUACGGAGGAACACCAGUGGCGAAGGCGGCCUGCUGGACAUUAACUGACGCUGAGGCGCGAAAGCGUGGGGAGCAAACA
rnacentral:rRNA from 1 species